UACGUAGGGUGCGAGCGUUAAUCGGAAUUACUGGGCGUAAAGCGUGCGCAGGCGGUUCGUGAUGUCUGGUGUGAAAGCCCCGGGCUCAACCUGGGAAUUGCAUUGGAAACUAGCGGGCUGGAGUGUGGCAGAGGGGGGUGGAAUUCCGGGUGUAGCGGUGGAAUGCGUAGAGAUCCGGAAGAACACCGGUGGCGAAGGCGGUCUGCUGGGCAGUUGCUGACACUGAGGCGCGACAGCGUGGGGAGCAAACAGG
rnacentral:rRNA from 1 species